UCUCUCUCUCUCUCUCUUUCCUGCUCCGCCGCGGUGAGACGUACUUGCUUCUCCUCACCUUCUACCGUGAUUCUGGACUAGACAGAAGACUACAGUUCAAUAAGAAGGAAACACAUUCAUUUUCAGUAUUGUUAAUAAAGAAGCUUACCUAAAAGAAGGAAAUCAAAACAAGAUAAUCUACACUGCAACUAGGGGAGGCUAUUGAAUGUGAUGGUCCCCUCAGAUGCCUAGAGGAAGAUGAACAAUGGUAAUCAGAUAUCCUAAAGUUAUCUUUAGGGCACUGGCAAAAUAGCAGCAAUGCCUGGUGGAAGCUGACUUUGUGCAUACACAUGAGAGCCCACAGAAAACUUCAAACUUCAUGGAAAUAAAACCUUCAGCUGCAGCUAAGAAUUUGGAGGUUACUGAAGGAGGUUACUUUUUCAAGAGCAGAAGUAAGGAUUCCACUGAAUUUGCUCACCAAAGAUAAGUCAGCAAAGAAAACUUACUGAAGAAUACAGACAGCAUAUCAGCUCCUGCUUUCCAGACAAACUUCCUGGGUCUUGGGAAGAAGAAAGCCUCAGACUAAGAACUCUCUCUGGACUCAGACAGCCUGAAUUCAAAUCCCAUCUCUAUUCUUACUAGUCAUAUGAACACAGGAGAACCAUAUCCAUUCAGCUCACUUUGGACCACCUGUGGAGCCUGAUAACCAGGGAACAGAGAACCUGUUGAGAUCCAAAUUUGUGUGCCAGAUCACAAACUCAUCUGAAGCAGAUGCCACGUGUUACACUGUUAUGUCUCUCAGAGACUCCAGCACUUUGAAAGUAUUAGGCCUUGCUUAUUGAGAUGAAUAUUUUUUUCUAGGCAUGUCCCAAAGUUCUCAGCAUAGCUACAACCCUGAUUUUCACAGGAUUUUCAUUAAAAUUAGGUUCUAGAGCAUUACUUCCCUAAUGUGCAAUGCAACUUACGUUUAGUUUUCAAAUCAAAAUUAGUUUUGUUUUUCCACUGUCUUUGUCUUUGAAAAUAUUGAACUUGGGAUUUCCAAAAUUAUAAUUAGCAAUUAUUUUUACAUAUCUUUUAUAUACAUAACUUUUACAAUGGCUGCCAUUAUCAUGUAGGUUCUUAGGAAGUGUUUCUGAUCCUUGUAAAUAAAAGUGAAAGAAGAAAUCUUUACUGCUUGCUGACCCAUGUGACUAACCUUGAAAUCAGAGAGGCAGAUUCAUUUAAAACAAACUUGCAAACUGUUAAGCAAAGUACUGAAUCUCUGUGACUUGACCAAAAGUAAUUCAGACUUGACUAUUCCAGGCUCCCUUCUAUCUCUGUAGCAACCCAUGCAUCAUAGACUCCAGUUGCAAUGGAUGGUCAAGGAAUCUGCUGUGCCUUUUGAGUCUCUCCAUUUUAUAUUGCCAAAUUUAUCUUCCUUUAAUACUUCACUUCACAUAAGACACUAAGAUAAACAAGGAUGCAACUCACUUAUAUUUCAAAAUAGUACCUAGUGGUUAAAAGUACUUGUUCUGAAAGCAACUCUAUUUUUCUAGUUCUAACAUGUCUCCAACUAGUUAUCUCACCUUGAGCUUGGCACAUAAUCACUCCAUCUUACUUUUGCAUCUGUGACACAAGAAAAAUACCACCCACCUCAACAUAGAUCUUAUGAAGAUUAAAAUAAGAUUAUGAAAGUAAAAUGCUCAGCACAAUGUCUAAACGAAAAUAAAUGCUCAGCAAGUAGGAGCUACUAUAAUUAUUAUCCAGAUCAAAUAUUUUCUCCUCUAUGAAGCUUUCUUAUUCUUCCCCAGCUGGAAUUACUUAUUUUCUUCCUUGCUUUCUACACCACACUUUAGUCACCACCAUGCUGGCACUUGUCUCACCGCAUUAUAAUUAUUUAUGUGCCUGUGUUCCAUAACCAGAAUAUGGGACUUAAGCUUCUUUAUACCUCCAGCAUAAUUGUUUCAUGUGUGCUUUUAGGUAAUGGAGUAAAAUGGAUGAAUGAGUGAAUGCGACUAUAGUACUAAAUGCUCUUAGAUAAAGAUGUAAUUAUUCUUAAGUGAUAAAAUUAUUCGAACAUGAGUAGUUCAGAUAAUGAGAGACUGUCAUAGAAUUACUUGAUAAAAUCUAGUCAAUAAAAUGGCUUGGCAAUAUAACCUUUAUGAUUUCUUUAAACAAUCAUUCAUUUCUUUCUGAAGAUGAGAAGAGGAGAUUCCUUCUCCCAUCUUUAUAUUUCAACAAUGAUUAGAAAACAAAUUGAUCUCUGGGAUCAGUGCCCAAUACCAUUAAAGUGGUAUACAUCUUACAAUUCUUAAUUAAUUUGUGGCAUACAUAUACCAGUCUCCACAGCCAGCUUCAUCUGCAUACAGCAGCAUAAUCACUUUUUUCCUUAUAGUAAAGACAUAUUAUGAGUCAUCAAAGUCUUCUCCGGGGGUUGUGGUUAUCAUCUGGUAAUCACACCCUUGGGAGGUUAAAAACACUUAUCUUUGGAUCAUGACUUGCAAUGCCCCAGGGGUGUGAUUAUCUCAGGCAACUCACACUUUCUGUCAUGCCUAAUUGCUUAAUUAUUAUAGCUGCAAGUUCACACCACCAUACAGGAACUCAUGUUGUGUCAGCAUUUCCACUAUAAAUUCCUUUUUCAAGAGUCUAUAACUCAGCCAUAAAAAAAAAAAAAAAAAAAACCUAUGGUCCAUUGAAGCACUGCAGUAAGAGUCUUAUUCCAGGAAACAUUUCUGUAAUAGGUUAAUUGUAUCUUAAAAAUUGGGUCCUGAUUCUCAUAGUUAGUUCACCAAAGAAAUAAAUGCUAAUUAAAUGUCUCUAAAUUAUAUAUUUUUCUGUAUGGCUGGGUAAAUAAUGUAAAUCCUAAAGACAUAAAUAUUAUUUUUUAAAUAUAACAAGAAUGGCUCAUACAAUUUCCAGUUUUUUGGAAAUACACUUACACAUAUUUAUAAAAUAUUAUAUAAGUAGAAUGAGCUAAACCAUAGUUAGAGAACAUUGUCAUAUGCAAUCAUGUACUACAUAAUAUUUCAGUCAGUGGACAGCAUGUGGCAGUGGUCACAUAAGAUUAUAACGCAGCUGAAAAAUUCCUGUUGUCUAAUGACAUCAUGGCUGUCAUAACUGUCAUGGCCGUCAUGGCCAUCUGAACAUUGUAGUACAAUGUAUUCCUCAUGUGUUUGUGGUGAUGCUGAUGUAAACAAGCAUCUGCACUGCCAGUUGUAUAAAAGUGUAGCACAUACAAUUAUGUACAUACAAUUAUGCACACACAAUUAUGUACAACACAUAAUAUUUUAUAAUGACAAUAAACAAUUUUGUUACCGGUUUAUGUAUUCACUGUACUAUACCUUUCAUCAUUAUUUUAGAGUGUACUCUUUCUACUUAUAUAUAAAAA
rnacentral:lncRNA from 1 species